rnacentral:rRNA from 1 species
GAUGAACGCUGGCGGCGUGCCUAAUACAUGCAAGUCGAGCGAACAGACGAGGAGCUUGCUCCUCUGACGUUAGCGGCGGACGGGUGAGUAACACGUGGAUAACCUACCUAUAAGACUGGGAUAACUUCGGGAAACCGGAGCUAAUACCGGAUAAUAUAUUGAACCGCAUGGUUCAAUAGUGAAAGACGGUUUUGCUGUCACUUAUAGAUGGAUCGCGGCCGCAUUGGCUGGUUGGUAGGGUAACGGCCUACCAAGGCGACGAUGCGUAGCCGACCUGAGAGGCGGAUAGGCCACAUGGGAGCUGAACCGGGGUCCUUGCUCCUGCGGGAGGCAGCAGAAGGGAACCGUCGGCAAUGGGGGAGAGCCUGACGGAGCAGGGCGGCGUGUGAGAUAAAGGUCUUCGGUUCGUAAAGCUCGGUUAUUAGGUAUAAACAAAUGUGUAAUUAACUGUGCACGGCUUGACGGUACCUGAUAAAAAAGCACCGGCUAACUACGUG